rnacentral:rRNA from 2 species
UCAUUUAGAGGAAGUAAAAGUCGUAACAAGGUUUCCGUAGGUGAACCUGCGGAAGGAUCAUUACCUAGAGUUUGCGGGCUUUGCCUGCUAUCUCUUACCCAUGUCUUUUGAGUACUUACGUUUCCUCGGUGGGUUCGCCCGCCGAUUGGACAAUUUAAACCCUUUGCAGUUGCAAUCAGCGUCUGAAAAAAAUUAAUAAUUACAACUUUCAACAACGGAUCUCUUGGUUCUGGCAUCGAUGAAGAACGCAGCGAAAUGCGAUAAGUAGUGUGAAUUGCAGAAUUCAGUGAAUCAUCGAAUCUUUGAACGCACAUUGCGCCCCUUGGUAUUCCAUGGGGCAUGCCUGUUCGAGCGUCAUUUGUACCUUCAAGCUUUGCUUGGUGUUGGGUGUUUGUCUCGCCUUUGCGUGUAGACUCGCCUCAAAACAAUUGGCAGCCGGCGUAUUGAUUUCGGAGCGCAGUACAUCUCGCGCUUUGCACUCAUAACGACGACGUCCAAAAGUACAUUUUUACACUCUUGACCUCGGAUCAGGUAGGGAUACCCGCUGAACU